AUCACACGUCAAACUUCAACUGACACAACGGUCUCGGUGAAGGGAAUAAGCAAAAGCUCCUUUAAAUUUCGUCAUUUUUUAUACACAUCCCGUUUAUUUUGAAGUUAAUUGUUAGAUAAGUAAGUAAUUUCGUCAAGUUUUCGUUACAGAGUAAGAUUUCGUUAUCAUCGUUACCAUAUACAGUAUUUAUAUUGGUUCAAGAGCGCAGUUUGAUAACUCAUUCAAGGGGGUUCUGUUCCUGCAGUCUUCCAGCAAUACUGGCGCGUAUGACGAUGCGGACACGAACUGCACACUACAGUAUACCGCCGCCUACUGUACUGUAGUAAAAUAACGUCCUUUAAACAUCUAAACAUGUCCUCCAAAAAGGAAAAAGGGAAAAACACUGGAAAACAAUUUCAGCCUAAGGUUUGAGAUGGCUAACUGUGUACAUUGCCUUUGUGUACUGCAAGCUGAACUUACAGAUUUAUAUGGACUUUACUUACAGGUUUCCUGUGCUGUUUUGCUCCAUUUUACAGAACAAAAUAAGGCUGAGGUAGCACCAUCCUUGUGGUUAGAGUGAAAGAAUGUGGGUAUUGAGACCAAAAUAAAUAAUGUGCCAUUCUGGACAAACAGCUGUGGACAAUACAAGCAGUCAGAGUAGCCCAUUUUCUCACACAGAUGAGGAGCAACCAGUAAGAAAAAGCAAAAAGAUGUUUUGAUGUUGCCUGAGGCACCUUAUUCACAUCAGUCAAUUUCUUCCAAUAAUGAAUCAAGAAAUCCUGGAGUGGAGAAUCAUUCUGAAAGUAGACCAAAUACAGGACAACACCACAGCAGUGGUUGGAAAAAUGCAGCAGACAAUGAGCAAACCAAGCUGACUUUCAAAAGAUGAUUCGUUAUCUGUUUCUUCAAAGGGGAGGCAGUUUGGGAGAUGGGAAAUAGGAGGAUGCUUCAGCUACACAGGGCGAAUUUCAGCAGCUCAGUUUCACACUUGCAACUAACAAUGAAUUAUAGUUAGAAGACAACGGAAAUAUUUGACAUGGGAGUCCAGCAGACAGCCAGAGACACGCACACACACGGAGCUGAAGCGCGUUUGACUGACGCGUACGGGAGAUCAGGCACGCGCACGGGAGCUCGCUCGCGCACGCACACACAAACACGGAGCACAGGAAAAUUACACCUGUUCAAUUCAAAUAAAAGA